rnacentral:rRNA from 1 species
GCAUAUCAAUAAGCGGAGGAAAAGAAACCAACCGGGAUUACCUCAGUAACGGCGAGUGAAGCGGUAACAGCUCAAAUUUGAAAUCUGGCUCUUCCGGAGUCCGAGUUGUAAUUUGUAGAAGAUGCUUUGGGUUGUGGGUUCGGCCUAAGUUCCUUGGAACAGGACGUCAUAGAGGGUGAGAAUCCCGUAUGUGGCCGAGGCCCGCGCCUAUGUAAAGCUCUUUCAACGAGUCGAGUUGUUUGGGAAUGCAGCUCAAAAUGGGUGGUAAAUUUCAUCUAAAGCUAAAUAUGGGCCAGAGACCGAUAGCGCACAAGUAGAGUGAUCGAAAGAUGAAAAGCACUUUGGAAAGAGAGUUAAACAGUACGUGAAAUUGUUGAAAGGGAAGCGCUUGCCACCAGACUUGGGCGCUGUCGAUCACCCCGAGUUCUCUCGAGUGCACUCGACAGCGCACAGGCCAGCAUCGGUUCGGGUGGCUGGAUAAAGGCCGUAGGAACGUGGCUCCCUUCGGGGAGUGUUAUAGCCUACGGUGCCAUGCAGCCCAGCCGGACCGAGGACCGCGCCUUCGGGCUAGGAUGCUGGCGUAAUGGUUGUAAGCGACCCGUCUUGAAACACGGACC